GUAGUAAGACUGCUGAGUACAUUACUGGAACACUGAAAUCUGCCAGUUUAUAGUAGCUGUUAUUUUCAAACCUUUUCAUAACCUUGAACUGUCAUGGUAAAAAAGCAAGUAUGAACAGGUGCUACAACUUUUAAUGUAUCAUACAAAUUUACAAACAUAAAAAGCAAAUAAUGCCUUUAUUUUUAAAAGCUUAUUUGAUUUUAAGGUACUGUACCUAGAUAAGCAAUAAAUUGUAGAAGACUAAAUGAAUUUACUUAUCAGAAAUAUCACUACCUUAUUUAAAGUUACAUGUUGUUCUCAUUCCAUGCAUACUAGAUUUUGUUUAAUUUCCCUCUUAAGUUCUCCAGUUGCAGAUUGUUAUUAGAACUCCUUGAGGGGAGAAGCUAAGUACUAUUCAUUUUAGCAUAGUGUUUAGCUCAUAGUGCACACUGAUUAAAUAUUUCCUAGACUGUUUUCUUGAAGCAAAUUCGUUUUAGAAUCGACUGCUUUCAUUAUAACAUGUCUUGUGUAAUUGGUACUGUGACCCCCACUGCAGACAUGCUGCUAAACAUGUGUAAUUGAUACUGUGACCACCACUGCAGACAUGCUGCUGGACAUGUGUAAUCGGUACUGUGACCACCACUGCAGACAUGCUGCUGGACAUGUGUAAUCGGUACUGUGACCACCACUGCAGACAUGCUGCUGGACAUGUGUAAUUGGUACUGUGACCACCACUGCAGAUAUGCUGUUAAACAUAGCAGACCCAGAACUUAGCAGCCGUUACCUAGAGCCGUUUGUUCUUUUGCCCUCUAAUCUACAUCUUGCCUCCAUCACUGACCCAAGCAGAAUGUCCCCGUGUCUGCCAUGCUCUAAAUCAUAUUGCUAGGCUCCUACUCAUUCUGAGAAUCCUGAGAAAACAAAGGUCCUCUUGUAGUAGGGCUUACAGAGUUAGUUGGAGGGCUGGGGUAGUGUGAGACCAGGUUCUGGAUCUCUGGAACUGGGAAUACAUCUUAGGUUGGAGAGAGUCUCUGUGGGUCAGGAACGUGGGCAAGGCCUAGUUGGGUCCUUUGCUUCAGGCCCCUCACAAGGCAGCAGUUGAAGCUUCAGCUGGGUGGAGACCUGUGUCUAAGCUCACUCACUUGGUGGCUGGCUCUGUCUGAUAGACUGAGGUCCUUAGUUCCUUCUUGAUGGAUGGCCAAAGGCUGCUCUCAGUUCCUUGCCAUGUGGCCUUCUCCGUCCUGCUUCAUCAGAGCGUGUACAUGAGAAGAGCCCAAGAGCACUCGCAAGGAAGGAGCACUAGCAAAUGGAAAUCAUAGCUCUGCAACAAAAUCACAGAGGUGACAUCCGUUUUGCAGUUUUGUUGGAGGAAAAUUACUUGAUCCACCCCACACUCGAGGCAUAGAUAACAGGGGUUGAGAGUACCUGGAAGGAGGACUAUCUUAGAAAUCUGCUUAACACAGGAUUGUCAAAUAAUAUAUAAGAGCCUAAAAGAGCCCUGAAACCCAAAAGUUAAGAGACCUGCUUAUCUGGAUGUAUAUUCAGCUGGUAGAAUAUGAAGGGAGGUGACCCCUUCCUUGAGAAGUUUUUCUCCAGGGCAAGGUGGUGGGUGGGCCAUGGAAGCCCAUGCACAGAGGGUGACAAGAGAGGCUCCCCCUUUUCUAGAGGCAAGGAUCUGUAUAUUACAUAGCUGUCUUCUAGCAACAUCUUUCAGAAAAUAACACAAAC
rnacentral:lncRNA from 1 species